GGCAGGUGGUGCGCGGCACGCGACGCGCCUAACAGCGACGACGCCGAGCGGAGGGGGACCAGACCACUAACAGCUGAUGUCUGAUGAGCUGAUCGAGCAGGAGGGCCGGGCCGUGCUGUGUGCGUGCCAAAUUAUUCGCGUCGCGUCGCGAGGGGCCAGACGCCCCAGCAGCUAGCAGCAGGCCGGGUGCUGGGCGCAGCGGCAGCAAAGCGAGCGUGCCUGCUGCACUGCACUGUGGCUGUCUCUCAGCUCCGACUGGCUUGGCUAGGCUAGCUGCCGCUGCUGCUGCCAGUGCCGUGUACCCAUGGCGCCUCACUUACGUUACCCCUCGGUCAUCACUGUCGCCGUCCGUCCGGCACUCCGGCCGGCCCUCUGUUCAUCUCCUGUUCACGUGAGGCGGUGGCGAGCACUGGUUUGUUGGCUUGCUACCACCCUCCAAGCGCCGUGCCGUGACGUGAGCCGCACUGUGCUGCGCGACCUCCGGGGCUUGGGGUUGGGUUGGUUUUGUUCCUCGCCGGCGACGCUCGUGGCCUCGUCCUCGUGGGGAGGAGAGGACGACGACCCAGCUCAGCUGCGCUGCUGACCCUCGUCGGCGCCGCUACAGUUGCUGCUAGCUGUGUUCAUGCCGCUGUUCACCGCUUCUUCUCAGUUUUCCCACGCUCGCUUUCGGCUUUUCCUCAGUCUUUUCCGGUCGUGCAGGGCAGGCCGGACGGGCAGGGCUGUGCUGUCUCUGCUCUGCGCCGAAUUGGAGACUACCUGCACUAUCAUCGUGCGAUGCGAGUAAAAAAGGGGGCCCCGGUCAAGUAAGACUGUGCUCAGCUCAGAAUCAGAUCAGCUUUACCUUUGAGUCGUGGUAACAGGCCCUUGCUUCCACUUUGUCUCCCUCCCCUUCCUUCCCUCCACGAAAAAGCGCUCUUUCACGCUGACACAAAGCGCCCGGGGCACCUACCGUCCAUAGCUGCCUACACCAGCAUGACACCAUGCUAUUGCUUGCAGGUCCUGCCCGUGGCCUGACCUGCCUGCCGAGGGUGAAAAGGCC
rnacentral:lncRNA from 1 species